UCCUUGGUGGCUCAGUUAGUAAAGAAUCUGUCUGCAAUGCAGAAGACCCAGGUUUGAUCCCUGGGUUGGGAA
rfam:TPA: Bos taurus chromosome 16, whole genome shotgun sequence.